UUCAAAGUAAGGUCCUGUUGGUAAGUUUCUGCAGUAAACAUAGUAUAUAUUUAACUACUAGUAUAUAAAUUAAAAGCAAAAUAUCAUCAAGGUAACAGCAUUUUAAAAUUUUAAUCAAUUUAAAGUAAUUCAGACAGAUAUUUGCUUUGGUCAUAAACUAUGAUUCAUAACAAUAUGAAAAAGUCCGAUAAUAAAGGGGGGCAAUUGGGACCUGUAUGAAUACCUGCAACCUGUCAGUAAACUUUAUUGCCAAAACUAACAAAGAUGUUGCCAAGAUGUAUAUUUAAAGCUAUAAUCAUCUUAUUACAGUUCCAAUAAGUAUAUAUAGCAAGUUUCCUUUUUUCGUCACAGAAGUAGUCCUUAUAUAGCUUGUAGCAAAUAAAUCUGCAACCAGAUUUUUCAAAGGAUCAUUUAAUUAAAUAACACAAUUUCUGUUUGAUAAGAUUCUGUGGUUGUGUAAUGUAUCGUCGUGAAAAUCAUAGCUGGCAAUUGAAUUGAAAGACCAGACCAACAAAAGCAUGUUAUGUAUCCAAAACAUCCAAAGAUAAAUAUAACCCAAAAAUAGCGAAUUCCAUCAUUUUCAUACGCACUAUAACAAAAACAAAUAACUAGUUCUUUCAUCGAAGUAAGUAACUAGUGAACUUUACAGAAAGAUAAGGCAUACUUACUUUUACACGAAAUAAAAUGAAGUUUGAACAGGUUUCAUUUGUAGUUCAGGCAACUUAUACAUAGCAGGUACUUUUAUUUUUU
rnacentral:lncRNA from 1 species